GAACGGAGCACCCCUGAAGGAGUUUUCGGACAACGGAAGGGAAUGCUUAGUGGCGGACUGGUGAGUAACGCGUGAGGAACCUGCCUUUCGGAGGGGGACAACAGUUGGAAACAACUGCUAAUACCGCAUGAUGUAUCGGGAUCGCAUGGUCUUGAUACCAAAGAUUUUAUCGCCGAAAGAUGGCCUCGCGUCUGAUUAGCUAGUUGGUGGGGUAACGGCCUACCAAGGCGACGAUCAGUAGCCGGACUGAGAGGUUGGCCGGCCACAUUGGGACUGAGAUACGGCCCAGACUCCUACGGGAGGCAGCAGUGGGGAAUAUUGGGCAAUGGACGCAAGUCUGACCCAGCAACGCCGCGUGAAGGAAGAAGGCUUUCGGGUUGUAAACUUCUUUUAAGGGGGAAGAGCAGAAGACGGUACCCCUUGAAUAAGCCACGGCUAACUACGUGCCAGCAGCCGCGGUAAUACGUAGGUGGCAAGCGUUGUCCGGAUUUACUGGGUGU
rnacentral:rRNA from 1 species